rnacentral:rRNA from 1 species
UACGGAGGGUGCGAGCGUUGUCCGGAAUCACUGGGCGUAAAGAGCGCGUAGGCGGCAUGCCAAGCGUGUGGUGAAAGCCCGGGGCUCAACCCCCGGGUCGGCCGUGCGGACUGGCGUGCUCGAGCACUGUAGGGGAGACUGGAAUUCCUGGUGUAGCGGUGAAAUGCGCAGAUAUCAGGAGGAACACCGAUGGCGAAGGCAGGGAUCUCUGGGCCACUACUGACGCUGAGAAGCGAAAGACAUGGGGAGCGAACAGG